GAAUGCAUGCAUUGUUUGCUGAUUUUUGUGGAUACACGGUACAGUGUUGUUGUUCCAAUAAUUGGUGUUCAGGGAUUUCAAUGGGCAAUAGAUAAUGACAUGUGGCAAGCUAGAGUUGAUAGCAUUAAGCCUUUAUUUGAAUAAGCAAGAAUUGAUUCAGGGAAGAGUGAAAUAGAUGCAGAGGUUGUGAAAAGGU